CAGUGAGCCGCUUCCCCCAGUCUUGACUUACAGCGUACCGUGAUGUUGCACAGUUAGUUAGUGCCUUCUUCGCCAUUUUAGUCAGUUAACUAGUUAGUUAGUUAACUAUUUAUUCUUGAUUAGUAAUAUACAUUCUCAGUUUAGAGUUGUUCGACAUCUAUAUUUCAAUCUACCGAAUUUAUAUUGAUUGAUAUCUGUGCUUGAUAUGACCACAUCGUCAUAUCCUUGAUUGUUGCCGCUGAAAAAUUCGCUCCAUAUUACCGCAGCAGAUGAAGAGACUGGUAACCAUUCAGCCGGAGUGAAACAGUCGGAUGUUCGAUUCCCGUAGCCUUUCGCCUGGUGGCAGAGCCUAACCCCUCUGGUUGGCAUGUGGGCUUCCUACAUGCCAAAACAAGACAACAACGUGCUGGAGUACUCCGCUCGAUAUAUCUAUCAUAUAGAUACCGGUAAAGAUUUAUACUAUUGGUAGAGUAUUUCUAAAUUUUCACGUCAGUAAUACAUGUACAGAUAAAUGGGU
rnacentral:sRNA from 1 species